UCAUGUCGUGACUCUAGCGGCGGACGGGUGAGUAACACGUGGGUAACCUGCCCUCGAGUCCGGGAUACCUCCUCGAAAGGGGGGCUAAUACUGGAUACGUUCCCCGGGUCACACGGCCUGGGGAGGAAAGGUAGCUCGCAAGGGCUGCCGCUCGUGGAGGGGCUCGCGGCCUAUCAGCUAGUUGGUAGGGUAACGGCCUACCAAGGCGAUGACGGGUAGCUGGUCUGAGAGGACGACCAGCCACACGGGAACUGAGACACGGUCCCGACUCCUACGGGAGGCAGCAGUGGGGAAUUUUCCGCAAUGGGCGAAAGCCUGACGGAGUGACGCCGCGUGGGGGACGAAGGCCUUCGGGUCGUAAACCCCUGUCAGAGGGAAAGACGGGUGUCGGCGUGCACAGCGCCGGCAUCUGACGGUACCUUCAGAGGAAGCCCCGGCCAACUCUGUGCCAGCAGCCGCGGUAAGACAGAGGGGGCAAGUGUUGCUCGGAAUUACUGGGCGUAAAGGGCGUGUAGGCGGAGCGGCAAGUCGGUCGUGAAAGCCUCCGGCUCAACUGGAGAACGUCGAUCGAUACUGCCGCCCUUGAGGGUAGCAGAGGAGACUGGAAUUCCCGGUGUAGCGGUGAAAUGUGUAGAGAUCGGGAGGAACACCGGUGGCGAAGGCGGGUCUCUGGGCUACUCCUGACGCUGAGGCGCGAAAGCGUGGGGAGCAAACGGGAUUAGAUACCCCGGUAGUCCACGCUGUAAACGAUGGGCACUAGGUGUGGGGGGGGUUCAGUCCUCUCCGUGCCGCAGCUAACGCAUUAAGUGCCCCGCCUGGGGAGUACGGCCGCAAGGUUGAAACUCAAAGGAAUUGACGGGGGCCCGCACAAGCGGUGGAGUAUGUGGUUCAAUUCGAUGCAGAGCGAAGAACCUUACCUGGGCUUGACAUGCCGGAAGUAGAAACCCGAAAGGGGGACGACCUGUUAAGUCAGGAGCCGGC
rnacentral:rRNA from 1 species